rnacentral:lncRNA from 1 species
UUCAUUUCAUUCUUCGUGUUCCUAUCUCCACCCAAAAAUCUUCUCUUCAUUUGAUUCAUCAAAUUAUUCAAACCUCUUACGUGAUGUAACUAAGAAGUUGCAGAGAUUUAAAUGAAAAAGUUAACUGCAUUUUAUGGAUAAAGCGGUCAAUGUGAGUUACUUUGUGGAGCGAGGGUCAAGCGUCAAUGGUGGAAUAAUCAGACCAAAAAUACUGUUACUAUUCACAUAGAUUGGAGUUAUAUAGUUAUAUUUUGUAAAAGUAAUUUAUUUAAAAUGGGG